rnacentral:rRNA from 1 species
UACGAAGGGGGCUAGCGUUGUUCGGAAUUACUGGGCGUAAAGCGCACGUAGGCGGGUUGUUAAGUCAGGGGUGAAAUCCCGGAGCUCAACUCCGGAACUGCCUUUGAUACUGGCAAUCUAGAGACUGGAAGAGGUUAGUGGAAAUUCCCAGUGUAGAGGUGAAAUUCGUAGAUAUUGGGAAGAAACACCGAUGGCGGAGGAGGGCGCUG